UCUCCGUUGGUGAACCAGCGGAGGGAUCAUUACCGAGUUUUCUACUCCCAAACCCCUGUGAACUUAUACCUUUACCGUUGCUUCGGCGGGUUAACGCCCCGGAAAGGCCCCCGAAAGGGAGCCGCCCCGGAACCAGGCGCCCGCCGGGGGACCCAAACUCUUGUAUUUUCUUACCUAGCAUGUCUGAGUGGAGUCAUAAACAAAUGAAUCAGAACUUUCAACAACGGAUCUCUUGGUUCUG
rnacentral:misc_RNA from 1 species